rnacentral:rRNA from 1 species
AUUGAACGCUGGCGGCAUGCCUUACACAUGCAAGUCGAACGGCAGCACGGGUGCUUGCACCUGGUGGCGAGUGGCGAACGGGUGAGUAAUACAUCGGAACAUGUCCUGUAGUGGGGGAUAGCCCGGCGAAAGCCGGAUUAAUACCGCAUACGAUCUACGGAUGACAGCGGGGGACCUUCGGGCCUCGCGCUAUAGGGUUGGCCGAUGGCUGAUUAGCUAGUUGGUGGGGUAAAGGCCUACCAAGGCGACGAUCAGUAGCUGGUCUGAGAGGACGACCAGCCACACUGGGUCUGAGACACGGCCCAGACUCCUACGGGAGGCAGCAGUGGGGAAUGUUGGACAAUGGGCGAAAGCCUGAUCCAGCAAUGCCGCGUGUGUGAAGAAGGCCUUCGGGUUGUAAAGCACUUUUGUCCGGAAAGAAAUCCUUGGCCCUAAUACGGUCGGGGGAUGACGGUACCGGAAGAAUAAGCACCGGCUAACUACGUG